UGUUUCAAUAGAGAACUCCAUAUAUUUAAAGCACUGAUACUGUUUUCCCUCUAAAUGACAGGCUUGACAGAUGGGCCGAAAGCACUGCAGACGUUUGAACAAGGAAAUGGAGAGGGAGCCUGCUGGAAACAGGGCUUCACGCAGCCAGCCGUGGAUGAUGAAUAGAGUGUGAUUGUGUCUGACAGGAUGCAUUGAAGGUAGAUGGGAUCUAGGUGGAAAAAUUUUCCUUAUACUGAGUCACUCCUCUCAUCUCCUUUCCAUUCCUUUGAAUUGAAGUGAACUCCCUUUCCUAGAGGUGUUGCCAACCUAGCCUUCAGCAGCAGCAGCUCUUCUGUAACA